rnacentral:SRP_RNA from 1 species
CCUGGGCACAGUGAUGUGUGCCUGUAGUCCCAGCUACUUGGGAGGGUGAGGCAGGAGGAUGGUUUGAAACCAGGAGUUCAAGACUGCUGUGUGCAAUGAUCGUGCUUGUGAAUAGCCACUACACUCCAGCCUAGGGAACAUAACAAGAGCCUGUCUCUA